AUGGACACCAGUUCCAUACUAGGGGGAACCCGACCUACCAUAGAGGAUCGCCAACCCUUGGAGGACCCAAACCCAUCAUGGAGGACCCCAACCCACCAUGGAGGACCCCCGACCCUUGGAGGACCCCAACCCCACCAUGGAGGACCCCCAACCCACCAUGGAGGACCCCUGACCCUUGGAGGACCUCCAACCCACCGUGGAGGACCCCUAACCCUUGGAGGACCUGAACCCACCAUGGAAGACCUCCAACUCUUGGAGGACCUCCAACCCACCAUGGAGGACCCCAACCUACCAUGGAUGACCCCCAACCCUUGGAGGACCCGAACCCACCGUGGAGGACCCCCAACCCACCGUGGAGGACCCCAACCCCACCAUGGAGGACCUGCAACCCCCCAUGGAGGACCCCUGACCCUUGGAGGACCCAAACCCAGCAUGGAGGACCCCCAACCCACCAUGGAGGACCCCCGACCCUUGGAGGACCUCCAACCCACCGUGGAGGACCCCCAACCCUUGGAGGACCCCCAACCCACAAAUGGAAGACUCCAACCCUUGGAGGACCCCCAACCCACAAAUGGAAGACCAGCAGGACGCCAUCUUGUCCCUCCGCCAUGUUUGACACCCCAACCCACCAAUGGAGGACCCCAAAUCCAUGACGGAAGACCCCCAACCCACAAACAGAAGACCAGGAGGCCGCCAUCUUGUCCCUCCGCCAUGUUUGAAGCCCCAACCCACCAAUGGAAGACCCCCAACCCACCAAUGGAAGACCAGGAGGCCGCCAUCUUGUCCCUCCGCCAUGUUUGACGCCCCAACCCACCAAUGGAGGACCCCAAAUCCAUGACGGAAGACCCCAACCCACAAACAGCAGACCAGGAGGCC
rnacentral:lncRNA from 1 species